AACGAACGCUGGCGGCAUGCCUAACACAUGCAAGUCGAACGAGACCUUCGGGUCUAGUGGCGCACGGGUGCGUAACGCGUGGGAACCUGCCCUUAGGUUCGGAAUAACUCCCCGAAAGGGGUGCUAAUACCGGAUAAUGUCUUCGGACCAAAGAUUUAUCGCCUUUGGAUGGGCCCGCGUUGGAUUAGCUAGUUGGUAGGGUAAAAGCCUACCAAGGCGACGAUCCAUAGCUGGUCUGAGAGGAUGAUCAGCCACACUGGGACUGAGACACGGCCCAGACUCCUACGGGAGGCAGCAGUGGGUAAUAUUGGGCAAUGGGCGUGAGCCUGAGCCAGCGCUGCCGCGUUGGUGAUGAAGGCCUUAGGGUUGUAAAGCUCUUUUACCCGGGCUGAUAAUGACAGUACCGGGAUAAUAAGCUCCGGCUAACUCCGUG
rnacentral:rRNA from 1 species